GACCCACUAGAGGGCACCCACGUGACACCCUGUCAUGACUCCCUUCUUCUUUUCUUUUUCUCCAUUCUUUGUCCGUACAGUAUUUUGCCAGGAUGUUUUUUCUUUCAUUAAGGGUAGAAUUAUCCAGGAAUCUGUUCUCCCAAUGUGUGCUGCUUUCUCCUUUCAGAUGCUCUGACUCCGUCUAUGAACGCAGACAGCUCAGAUUCUCGGACUCAAAUGUUCCAGCAGGAUUCAUCCUCCAGUAAACAUCAAACGAGCAGCAGGCCAACGGGCCAAACCAACCAUUAUCUCCAUGACGUCCAUGGUGACCAGCUGCAGAGAGGUGUGGUGCUGGGGCCCCCGGGAUCUCCUCAAGGGGUGAAGUCUGUUUCUCAGGCACAGAAAGAUGACAGGCUGAAGGAGCUGGAGAGGAGGCUGGAAGAGCUGGCGCAUAUGCUGAACACGGUCAAAACCCAGAACGCAGACCUGCAAUCACGCGUAAAGUACCUGGAGGGAUGUGAGUGUGUGAGGCAGCGAUGUGUGUGGGAGGGGCAUGAAGUGGAGAAUGGACAGCGCUGGCCAUUGACCUCAGCACUGUGUGUGAGUGCACAUCUGGAAAGGUCACAUGUCAAACUAACGUAAAAGGAUGUGAGCUGGAUGGUUCAGUUCAUAAUGUGUGACGGAUAGCUGCAAGACGUGUACGUGUAAGGAGGGUAACAGGGAAUGCCAUCCCCAACCCUGCCCUUCACUGGAGUGCACACAAAGGGAGACUGUACCUGGAGACUGUUGCCAGAGAUGCAGAGGCUGUGUCCAUUCUGGUGUCCAGUAUGAUCACGGAGCCGAGUGGAGGUCGACAGGGAGUCUGCUAUUGUCUGGAAUGUCACGUUCGCUGUGAGAGGGAGCAAUGUAACACACCGUGUGAAAACCCAGCUGCUCCUCCACCCAACACCUGCUGUCCAGUGUGUCAAGGCUGCGGUGUGAACGGCUGUGACUUCUCUAACGGAGCUGUGAUCCCUACUGGAGACCGUUGUCAAGUGUGCACAUGUUUGGUAUGGCAUUAAUAAUCAAAUUCAACAAUACAUUUCAAUUCAUCGUGUGUAUAAAUCAAUUGCAUCCUUAUUAUAUCUUUCUCCUUCAGAACGGGAACGUUGCUUGUUCACCCCUACCUUGUGCUGCUUUGACUUGUCAUAACCCGGUGCAUCGUGCUGGAGACUGUUGCCCGCGAUGUGAGCAGUGUGAAUAUGAAUCCAAGAUGUACGUGGACGGACAGAAGUUCCCCUCUACGAGAGACCCCUGCCUCCACUGCCACUGCAAGGCAGGAGGUGUGUCUUGUGAGCGCAUGGACUCAGCAUGCCCUACAGCUCACUGAAGUCAUCCAGUAAAGCACAAAGACGAGUGUUGUCCCACAUGCGAUGGUCAGUAGUCUGCAGUGCUGUAGUGGUAAAAUUAGAGGUGGGUAAACUCUGAAUU